rnacentral:rRNA from 1 species
UACGUAGGGGGCAAGCGUUGUCCGGAUUUAUUGGGCGUAAAGAGCGUGUAGGCGGCCUGAAAGGUCAGCUGUGAAAACUCGAGGCUUAACCUCGAGCUGUCGGCGGAAACCAUCUGGCUAGAGUCCGGAAGAGGAGAAUGGAAUUCCCGGUGUAGCGGUGAAAUGCGCAGAUAUCGGGAAGAACACCCGUGGCGAAGGCGGUUCUCUGGGACGGUACUGACGCUGAGACGCGAAAGCGCGGGGAGCGAACAGG